UACGAAGGUGGCAAGCGUUGUUCGGAUUUACUGGGCGUACAGGGAGCGUAGGCGGUUGGAUAAGCCCUCCGUGAAAUCUCCAGGCUUAACCUGGAAAGUGCAGAGGGGACUGUUCAGCUAGAGGAUGGGAGAGGAGCGCGGAAUUCCCGGUGUAGCGGUGAAAUGCGUAGAGAUCGGGAGGAAGGCCGGUGGCGAAAGCGACGGGCUGGCCCUCCACUGACGCUGAGGCGCGAAAGCCAGGGGAGCGAACGGG
rnacentral:rRNA from 1 species